rnacentral:rRNA from 1 species
AUUGAACGCUGGCGGCAGGCCUAACACAUGCAAGUCGAGCGGAGCGGCGGACGGGUGAGUAAUGCCUAGGAAUCUGCCUGGUAGUGGGGGAUACCGCCCGGAACGGGGCGCUAUUCCCCCAUCCUACCGAAUGCCCCUGGGUCGGAUUAGCGAGUUGGGGGGGUAAAGGCCUACAAAGGCGACGAUCCGUAACUGGUCGGAGAGGAUGAUCAGUCACACUGGAACUGAGACACGGUCCAGACUCCGACGGGAGGCAGCAGUGGGGAAUAUUGGACAAUGGGCGAAAGCCUGAUCCAGCCAUGCCGCGUGUGUGAAGAAGGUCUUCGGAUUGUAAAGCACUUUAAGUUGGGAGGCGUUACCAACAGAAUAAGCACCGGCUAACUUCGUGCCAGCAGCCGCGGUAAUUC